rnacentral:rRNA from 1 species
GACGAACGCUGGCGGCGUGCUUAACACAUGCAAGUCGAACGAGGUCCAACCACUCGCAAGAGUGGGGAAGACCUAGUGGCGAACGGGUGCGUAACACGUGAGCAACCUGCCCCGAAGACUGGGAUAACACCGGGAAACCGGUGCUAAUACCGGAUGUCCCCACUCCCUCGCAUGGGGGAAUGAGGAAAUGGAUUCCGCGUUCGGGAGGGGGCUCGCGGCCUAUCAGCUUGUUGGUGGGGUAAUGGCCUACCAAGGCGUCGACGGGUAGCUGGUCUGAGAGGACGACCAGCCACACUGGGACUGAGACACGGCCCAGACUCCUACGGGAGGCAGCAGUGGGGAAUCUUGCGCAAUAGGGCGAAAGCCUGACGCAGCAACGCCGCGUGGGGAUGAAUGCCUUC